UACGUAGGUGGCAAGCGUUGUCCGGAUUUACUGGGCGUAAAGGGCGUGCAGGCGGUUUGUUAAGUGCAGGGUGAAAGCUCCCGGCUCAACUGGGAGAGGUCCUUGCAUACUGGCAGACUUGAGGGAGGCAGAGGAAAGUGGAAUUCCCGGUGUAGUGGUGAUAUGCGUAGAUAUCGGGAGGAACACCUGUGGCGAAGGCGGGUCUCUGGGCCGAUACUGACGCUGAGGAGCGAAAGCGUGGGGAGCGAACAGG
rnacentral:rRNA from 1 species